UGGAGACCGACAGUUGUUUGGACCAGAUCUAUCUAUACCUAUACCUACCUAUACUAAUUACAGACUCCCAAGAAAUUACCAUAUUAAUCAGUAAUUAUGAGCCGUUAAUCUGAUGGGACCAGAUUAUUACGGUGUAGAUUGAGUUAAUUUUUGCUCCGUUGCAAAAAAAAUCCGAAGCCCACAAUUUUUGCAUCGGCUGAAAAAAUGAAUCCAUCUAAAACACGAUUAGUAAUCCAUCGAUUAUUCCCUCCCAUAACUGAAGCAAAUCUUUAAAUUAAAAAAAACUAAAGCAAUCUUUAUCUCUUUCACGACAAAAAAAACUCUACAUGCUCAUAAUACUAUAGCCGUCUCCUUCCAUAAAAACCAAAAGAAAAAAUCAGUAGCGUCUUUCCUUCGGCCCCGAGCAGCCGCGCCGCCGAAGCUUGGGCACCCUGCCGCCACAUCGACUCCUCCGCCGUCCGCCGUCCGGUGCGACGCCGGAGCAUCCGUCGCAUGCCGGCGAGCUCACCAUCAAGCAGCAGCAGCCGCGCCGCCCUCCAACUUUGCCUUUUCCCCGUCCUUUCCUGCUCCUCUCUCACCUCUCUGUGCCUCGCCUCCACAGGGACAACGGGACGCCGCCGGCACGCGGAAUGAUGCCGCCCCAACUGGAUCCACACCCUCCUCCAUCGCCUGCUCUCUAUCGUCCGUCCUCGCCUCGAAUCGGUCGUGCCGGCAGCCGUCGUUGCCAGAUCCUCGCGUCGCCGCCCGCUGAAAGAUCCAGCCUCUCACCGUCGAGGGAGGUAGGAACGACGGAGCCGUGCAUGUGUCGGCGCCCAUGUGGUGCGUGCGGAUCCACCGCCUUGCGGAGCGGCUGCAGGCCUGCAGCGCGCCCUGCCUCAAACAACACGCAUGGGCGACGGCUGAGACGUCAGAGGAGCUUCAGCAGGAUGUGGUGAUCCAAUAGUACUCCUUCCAAUACAACACUAAACUAUGCAAAGUGGCCCUUUCUUUCCCCUGCCCAGUUCCAAUCUUUGAUCCGUCCAUGUCGAGGUAAUGUGUACAGAGAACGAGGCUGCCGAGCCAAAUUUGUUGAACGAGGCUGUCAAGUUUGAGGCCGAUGGCGCAUCUAUUCACACCAUGGACAUUCAUCGCCUGCUACUCAUGCGCCCACUCUGAAGGCAAGCAAGUAUGUAUCUUAAGUACCAUGCUGCAGUUAAGAUUUAAUCAUAUUAAUAUUAUCUCUGAUAUCGUGGACACAACAUAGAUUUCACAAGCAAAACUAUAUCAAGCUAGAUUUGUUGCACCUGCACUGCAUGUUGAUGAAUUAGGCUCAACUAAUUUUGCGUUUUUCCAUCAUGUUGAAAGUUGUCCCUGAUGUACGUACAUUAUUAGCUAUCAUGGAAACGACAAAUAGCUGAUGUUUGGUAGUAAUAGUUACUUCAUGGUAUGUUGCAUAUUCCUCUAAAUUUGUGAGAUUUGAGAUAGUAGAAACAACACAUCGUGAUCUUCAGCCCUUGCCUGAUGCUUCAUUAUUUUAGGACCAUGCAAUAAAAUGGAUUUAAUUUCCAGUCUAAGUAGGAUUAUUAGUCAUUUGAUGUGGAAAGUUUUAGGAUUUUAGUAUAUGUUUAGUUACGCUCUUACAGUUUAUGCAAGCGAAUUAACAGAAAGAAAUUGCAUGAACUAUUCUUUUAUUUCAUAAAUGUACAACUAUUUUUCUAUUGCGAAAAAAAACAUUCCUGGCCCCAAGCGAGCCAGCACACAAAUAAGACUGACUCCAAGCUUUUUUCAGAACUGAGUUAGUUUUCUUAUCCGUAAGAGUAUCUUAGGUUUUAAGUGACAAUCUUUAAACUCUCUCUGCUUUAUUAAUUUACUUUUUUAUAAAUACCACGAAGAUCAAAAUUUGAAGAAUUAAACCAAUAAGUGUAUUUAGUGAAGUCAGAGGUCUGUUUGGAAUAUUCUUAGUGCAAGUCUGACAUGAAAGGACGGCUGUUUUUUUUCCAUGGCUGAAUGGUGCUUCAUGAAGCAACAGUCAUAUUAUCAAUCGAAGUUGAAGCCUCUGUCUAAUCUCCUUUUGUUGUAAAACAUUAUUUUGUAAUAUUCUUAACUUAAUUAAUGACCACUUCUAUUAUGCUACCAUUUUAUGCGCACCAUGUUUUUAGAUGCAAUGGCCCACUAGAAACAGUUUACUAUACAUCAAUUUCUGUUAAAGUUAGAAGGACGUCCCUACUAUUUGUAAUUUUAUACACCAUACAUGUAUGAAGUUUCUUAUUUCUUAUUUAACUCUUCUGUAGAAGAUGUUAUUCCUAAAGGUUGUUGCUGACACAUAAAAAGCUCCUUAGUGAUAUGAUCCUCUCCAGCACAUCGCUUGAUGGAUCCAGAGGAGCAACCAUCAGCUUAUGAAAAAGGGCAAAUAAAUUGCCUGCUAUUGUUCCUUACCAAGAGUAAUUUCACCAGUGCCUAACUUAAAAUUUGAUCUGUUGCAUCAUGAUAAGAUCUCCAUGAUGUGCAUAGGCAUGAUUAUUUUUACAUUGAAUCGGUUUUCCUAUCUUACAUCCAUGCAUUCACAUAUUAGAAGGUAAAUAUGUUCCAGGCUCUUAUCUACUUGCAUGAAUGUGAACUCUGUAUCCAAUGGUAAAGCAGGCCUUAUCAGGUGACAUGGGCGAGACCUUUCCACAUAUAUGCUUCAUUAGAUAUCACAGUAUAUAUUUUGCCAGCAUCUUUGUAUUAUUGAUGCACAAUAUAUUUCUAUUCUAAAUUCUUGACUUCAUCAAAUUUAUAUUGUAGGAAAAAGGAUCAUGGAAUAGCACGCGAGGUGUAUAUUGUUGUUAGCAUCUGCCUAUUUUGAUGCAUUGUAUUUGCAUACAUGUACCAAGAUUUUUGUGAAAUAUACAUUUUCCAGGAGAAUGGAUGAUCGAGUAGCACUCAAGAUGGCAAGGUGGUUGAGAUUUACGAACUGGUGUAUCUUGAGGACUCAUGAUGUAUUUGUGCGUCGAUACAUGUAGAUUUAUGACUAUUUCCAUAUCAUCCACUGUAUCUAUCUAUGUCUCCUUAACUUCAACAUAUUUACCUUGAAUAAUUAUGGUUUAAUACAGGUUCUUUCUCUAUUA